rnacentral:rRNA from 1 species
UACGGAGGGUGCGAGCGUUGUCCGGAAUCAUUGGGCGUAAAGGGCGCGUAGGUGGCCCGGUCAGCGUGCGGUGAGAGCUCGGGGCUCAACCCCGAGUCGGCCGUGCGAACUGCUGGGCUUGAGCACUGUAGAGGCAGGCGGAAUUCCGGGUGUAGCGGUGGAAUGCGUAGAGAUCCGGAAGAACACCGGUGGCGAAGGCGGCCUGCUGGGCAGUGGCUGACACUGAGGCGCGACAGCGUGGGGAGCAAACAGG